rnacentral:tRNA from 1 species
GUUAGCGUAUCUUAAACUAAAGCAUGUCACCGAAGAUGUUAAGAUAAAUUCCGAUAGUAUUCCGCAGGCA